AUAUCACGUUGAAACACCAGUUCCCAUACGAUCACCGAAGUUAAGCAACGUCAAACCUGGUCAAUACCUAGAUGGGUGACCGCUUGGGAAUACCAGGUAUUGUAA